UGCUAUGGCGGGUGUCAUGGGGGCUCUUCGGAGCGCCGCUCCUCGGUGCGGUUACGCCAACCCUGUGGCAUCCGCCACCCUC
rnacentral:antisense_RNA from 1 species